AUUUUUACAGAUAACCAAAAAAAAUAGCAUUAAAAUUAAAAGCAAUUAUUCUCCAAUUUUUAAAAAUCCUGGGCCCACGUUUUCCAUGCUCUCACGAGGGAUCCGACAGAGCUGCUGAAGAGGCAGCGAUGUUGUAGGACCCUGAAGCAGGGCGUCAGACCAAACUCAAACUGGACGCCCUCGUGGAUGUAUUUAGGGCCCCUCUGCGAGUCCACUACACCGCGAUGAAACCAGUCGCGUUUGUUCCAAGAGAAAUGAAAGGCUGGAAAAUACGGAGUAGGUGAUACUAAAGAAAAGCUAUAGGGAAUGUGGAGGUAGGAAUUUUAAAAUGAGUAUUUUCUCAAAGCUGUUGUAGAAAUAGACACAUGGUAGCUGACCUCGAAGAGGCUGGUGGUCCUCAGAGAAGCAGUUAAUUCCAACAUCCCUAGCAAAAGAGAAGUAAAAAAAAAAACUCCCGUCAAAAUGGCCCUUAGGUUUUGACAAAGGGGUCCCUGACAAAAUGUGACUUAAUUAGGACAGAACUGAAAAGUAGAAGUAAAUUCCCCACCCAACAUAUGGGAACUGAGUGAUACUUCUCACUGGAAGCCAAGGAAUCCGUUUGUAGAGGAUCAGGAGGGGUAAGCUCAGAGCCUGGACCUGACCAGGUGAGCUAGAAGCCACGUGAAGAGGCCACGUGCAAGGGGCAAACAAAAGCCCACCCAGAGGGCAGGGGCAUCUGCGGUCAAGCACUGGAAGACCACUGACAAAUAGCCUCUGAGUAAACCUGAGGAAGGAAGGAAGCUAUAAUCAUGGCGAUUUGGGUGCACUGGAGCAUACAGAGCGGCCAGGGAUGGCAAGAAAAUACUCCUUCCAGAAACAUUCACUGGAACCUUCCCCUCUCCAACAUGCUGCCAGGCCCUGGAAUUGCAGAGAAUGGGAAAUGGACCCUGCCCUGAUGGACUCACAGGAGUGAACAGGAGGGAUGCCUGGGUGGCUCAGUCGGUUAAGCAUCUGCCUUCGGCUCAGGUCAUAAUCCCGAGGUCCUGGGAUCCAGCCUGCAUUGGGCUUCCUGCUCAGUGAGGAGCC
rnacentral:lncRNA from 1 species